UAUUGCACAAUGGGGGAAACCCUGAUGCAGCGACGCCGCGUGGGUGAAGAAGUAUUUCGGUAUGUAAAACCCUAUCAGCAGGGAAGAAGAUGACAGUACAUGACCAAGAAGCCCCGGCUAACUACGUGCCAGCAGCCGCGGUAAUACGUAGGGGGCAAGCGUUAUUCGGAUUUACUGGGUGUAAAGGGAGCGUAGACGGUGAUGUAAGUCUGGAGUGAAAGGCGGGGGCCCAACCCCCGGACUGCUCUGGAAACUAUGUGACUGGAGUGCAGGAGAGGUGAGCGGAAUUCCUAGUGUAGCGGUGAAAUGCGUAGAUAUUAGGAGGAACACCAGUGGCGAAGGCGGCUCACUGGACUGUAACUGACGUUGAGGCUCGAAAGCGUGGGGAGCAAACAGG
rnacentral:rRNA from 1 species